GACGAACGCUGGCGGCGUGCUUAACACAUGCAAGUCGAACGGAAAGGCCCUGCUUUUGUGGGGUGCUCGAGUGGCGAACGGGUGAGUAACACGUGAGUAACCUGCCCUUGACUUUGGGAUAACUUCAGGAAACUGGGGCUAAUACCGGAUAGGAGCUCCUGCUGCAUGGUGGGGGUUGGAAAGUUUCGGCGGUUGGGGAUGGACUCGCGGCUUAUCAGCUUGUUGGUGGGGUAGUGGCUUACCAAGGCUUUGACGGGUAGCCGGCCUGAGAGGGUGACCGGCCACAGUGGGACUAAGAGCCUGCGCGGACGCCUACGGGGGACGCCAGUGGGGUAGAGGGAACACUGGCGGGAAGCCGGAGCCAGCAACCCCGCGUGCGGAAGGAGGGACGCCGGGGGUGAAACGGAUGUAGCCGGUGAACAAGCGUGCGUGACGGUAAUGGGUAAAGAAGCACCGGCUAACUACGUG
rnacentral:rRNA from 1 species